rnacentral:rRNA from 1 species
GAUCAUUACAGAGAUCAUGCCCUCACGGGUAGACCUCCCACCCUGUGGUUAUUUACGAUUGUUGCUUUGGCAGGUCGCCUUCGGGCACUCGGCUCUGGCUGAGGUGCACCUGCCAGAGGACCCCAACUCUGUGUUUAGUGUUGUCUGAGUCUUAUUUAAUACGUUAAAACUUUCAACAACGGAUCUCUUGGUUCUGGCAUCGAUGAAGAACGCAGCGAAAUGCGAUAAGUAAUGUGAAUUGCAGAAUUCAGUGAAUCAUCGAAUCUUUGAACGCACCUUGCGCCCUUUGGCUAUUCCGAAGGGCAUGCCUGUUUGAGUAUCGUGAACACCUCAACUCUCACGGUUUGCCGUGAUGAGCUUGGACUUUGGAGGUUUUGCUGGCCCACGGUCUGCUCCUCUCAAAUGAAUUAGCUUACCAGUCUAUGGUGGCGCCACAGGUGUGAUAACUAUCUGCGCUCGUGGUCGUACGCCAGAUAACCUUCAGCGAUGGAGGUUUGCUGGGGCUCAUAAAUGUCCCUCCUCGGUGAAGACAGCUUCUUUGACGUUUGAUCUCAAAUCAGGUAGGACUACCCGCUGAACUUAAGCAUAUCAAUAAGCGGAGGAAAAGAAACUAAACAAGGAUUCCCCUAGUAACUGCGAGUGAAGCGGGAAGAGCUCAAAUUUAAAAUCUGGCGUGCCUCUGGUCGUCCGAGUUGUAGUCUGGAGAAGCGUUUUCCGUGUUGGACCGUGUACAAGUCCCUUGGAACAGGGCGUCAUAGAGGGUGAGAAUCCCGUCUUUGACACGGACUACCAAUGCUUUGUGAUGCGCUCUCAAAGAGUCGAGUUGUUUGGGAAUGCAGCUCAAAAUGGGUGGUAAAUUCCAUCUAAAGCUAAAUAUAGGCGAGAGACCGAUAGCGAACAAGUACCGUGAGGGAAAGAUGAAAAGCACUUUGGAAAGAGAGUUAAACAGUACGUGAAAUUGCUGAAAGGGAAACGCUUGAAGUCAGUCGCGUCUGCCAGGACUCAGCCUCGCUUCUGCUUGGUGUACUUUCUGGUUGGAUGGGCCAACAUCAAUUUUGACCGUUGGAGAAAGGCUUUGGGAACGUGGCACCUUCGGGUGUGUUAUAGCCCUUGGUUGUAUACGACGGUUGGGAUUGAGGACCGCAGCACGCCUUUAUGGCCCCGGGGUUCGCCCACAUA